UUUUCAAGUCGAGCGAGCGGAACCAACAGAUUUACUUCGGUAAUGACGUUGGGAAAGCGAGCGGCGGAUGGGUGAGUAACACGUGGGGAACCUGCCCCUAAGUCUGGGAUACCAUUUGGAAACAGGUGCUAAUACCGGAUAAUAAAGCAGAUCGCAUGAUCAGCUUUUGAAAGGCGGCGUAAGCUGUCGCUAAGGGAUGGCCCCGCGGUGCAUUAGCUAGUUGGUAAGGUAACGGCUUACCAAGGCGACGAUGCAUAGCCGAGUUGAGAGACUGAUCGGCCACAUUGGGACUGAGACACGGCCCAAACUCCUACGGGAGGCAGCAGUAGGGAAUCUUCCACAAUGGACGCAAGUCUGAUGGAGCAACGCCGCGUGAGUGAAGAAGGUUUUCGGAUCGUAAAGCUCUGUUGUUGGUGAAGAAGGAUAGAGGUAGUAACUGGCCUUUAUUUGACGGUAAUCAACCAGAAAGUCACGGCUAACUACGUGCCAGCAGCCGCGGUAAUACGUAGGUGGCAAGCGUUGUCCGGAUUUAUUGGGCGUAAAGCGAGCGCAGGCGGAAAAAUAAGUCUAAUGUGAAAGCCCUCGGCUUAACCGAGGAACUGCAUCGGAAACUGUUUUUCUUGAGU
rnacentral:rRNA from 1 species